rnacentral:tRNA from 1 species
CCUUCGAUAUCUCAGUUGGUAGAGCGGAGGACUGUAGAUCCUUAGGUCGCUGUUUCGAAUCCGGCUCGAAGGA